AGAUUGAACGCUGGCGGCAUGCCUUACACAUGCAAGUCGAACGGCAGCACGGGAGCAAUCCUGGUGGCGAGUGGCGAACGGGUGAGUAAUAUAUCGGAACGUGCCCAGUCGUGGGGGAUAACGUAGAGAAAUUUACGCUAAUACCGCAUACGAUCCAAGGAUGAAAGCGGGGGACCGUAAGGCCUCGCGCGACUGGAGCGGCUGAUAUCAGAUUAGCUUGUUGGUGAGGUAAAAGCUCACCAAGGCGACGAUCUGUAGCUGGUUGAGAGAACGACAGCCACACUGGACUGAGACACGCCCAGACU
rnacentral:rRNA from 1 species